AACGAACGCUGGCGGCGUGCCUAACACAUGCAAGUCGUGCGAGAAAGUUCCUUCGGGAGCGAGUAAAGCGGCGCACGGGUGAGUAACACGUAGGUAACCUGCCCCCCAGUCUGGAACAACUAGAGGAAACUCUAGCUAAUGCCGGAUGAGACCACGAUCCCUUCGGGGGUUGCGGCCAAAGAUGGCCUCUACUUGUAAGCUAUCGCUGAGGGAUGGGCCUGCGGGCCAUUAGCUUGUUGGUGAGGUAACGGCUCACCAAGGCUGUGAUGGCUAGCUGGUCUGAGAGGAUGACCAGCCACACUGGGACUGAGACACGGCCCAGACCCCUACGGGAGGCAGCAGUGGGGAAUAUUGCGCAAUGGGCGAAAGCCUGACGCAGCGACGCCGCGUGGGUGAUGAAGGCC
rnacentral:rRNA from 1 species